rnacentral:rRNA from 1 species
CCUACGGGAGGCAGCAGUGGGGAAUAUUGGACAAUGGGCGAAACCCUGAUGCAGCCAUGCCGCGUGUGUGAAGAAGGCCUUCGGGUUGUAAAGCACUUUCAGCGAGGAGGAAAGGUUGGCGCCUAAUACGUGUCAACUGUGACGUUACUCGCAGAAGAAGCACCGGCUAACUCCGUGCCAGCAGCCGCGGUAAU